rnacentral:rRNA from 1 species
GUAACAAGGUCUCCGUUGGUGAACCAGCGGAGGGAUCAUUACCGAGUUUACAACUCCCAAACCCCUGUGAACAUACCUUAAUGUUGCCUCGGCGGAUCAGCCCGCGCCCCGUAAAACGGGACGGCCCGCCAGAGGACCCAAACUCUAAUGUUUCUUAUUGUAACUUCUGAGUAAAACAAACAAAUAAAUCAAAACUUUCAACAACGGAUCUCUUGGUUCUGGCAUCGAUGAAGAACGCAGCAAAAUGCGAUAAGUAAUGUGAAUUGCAGAAUUCAGUGAAUCAUCGAAUCUUUGAACGCACAUUGCGCCCGCUGGUAUUCCGGCGGGCAUGCCUGUUCGAGCGUCAUUUCAACCCUCAAGCCCCCGGGUUUGGUGUUGGGGAUCGGCUCUGCCCUUCUGGGCGGUGCCGCCCCCGAAAUACAUUGGCGGUCUCGCUGCAGCCUCCAUUGCGUAGUAGCUAACACCUCGCAACUGGAACGCGGCGCGGCCAUGCCGUAAAACCCCAACUUCUGAAUGUUGACCUCGGAUCAGGU